rnacentral:lncRNA from 1 species
UAGCCAUCUGCCUUUCUGUGUAUUGUAAGGGGAAGGAGGGGAAAGCUAUGUUAAAUAUCUGAGGAAUGAUGAAGUAAGGCAAGCUGUGCGCUCUGAUUUUCUCUAUCAGCAGCAUAACUCAUCCAUCACUAUUACGGUCUGCAGCUGGAGAUAUUGCAGGGCUCUGACAUGAACUGUAGUGGGAGAUGGAAACAUCCUGGCCAAAGGAGGUGGCUGUGUUUCACAGAGAAGACUUCACUGAAAACCUUGGACCUAGUUGGUAACCUCAAAAUAGAAGAGAUGAGUAAAAGGAGGGAGAAGAGAAGAAAAGGAACAAGUGUACCCAAGAGGCACCUUAAGGACCUUAAGGACUGUAGAAGACCACCUGAGUUGCUGCAGAAGAUGUCAUUUACGUCAGCUUAUUCUGACUGGACAAAACCUCUCAGGAGCCUGGAGGGUUACAGGAGCUGAGAUGAAACAUCUUGAUUCCUUCAGCAACCGCUGGGCUGGAAGGGCUGCCCGUGCAGAUGACAGACGUGCUUUGUCUCGGUGGAAAUGGUUUGCAGUGUGAGUCAUGCCUUCAGACACGCUUGGUACUGCUCCCCCUGUCCCCUACAUCCUUCUCCCAGCCUUCCUAAAUGCCGGUCCCUAAAUGCAACAGGGAGGGAUCCCAUGCUGAGGGUAGAUGCACAGCUCCACCUAUUUCCCUUUUUGUUUUUAAGCAUAAGAUGCAAGGUACUGCACAAAUGGCAAUUCAUCUGACACUGCCUUAAAAGUGAAGAUAUUCAGAAGCAAACUUAAUGCUUUCUUUUGCUCAUGUUCCUACCGGACAAGUCCACGUAAGAUGCAGCAAGUUUGAAUUGUUGCCAUAUUGAAUUAUUUUAAUAAGUUAUUCCAGAGAAUCUGCUUUCUCCGCUUCUUAAAUUCUUCAAACUUAUGAGGAGUGUCAGAGAAAAGAAGGAAGUGUGCGAUAUCUGUUGCAUUGCUUAUUUAUGGGCUCAUUGUUUAUUUUAUUUUAUUUUAUUUUAUUUUAUUUUAUUUUAUUUUAUUUUAUUUUAUUUUAUUUUAUUUUAUUUAUUUUAUUUUUACUUGCUCUCUCCUAGUUCCUCACUAAAAUAGCAGAAACAUCUGUCUCCCUUCAUUGAGGAGAAUCAUUUAUGAGUCCCAGAUUUACCAACAGUAUCAGUUACAUCCAGCAAACCUCACUCUUGGUCUUAUUAAUUACUUUCCAUCUGCUUUUCCCUCAGGCAUCUUGGUUAGCAGAAAAAUGCUGACAAUCAACAGUAAUGGCUUCUUAAGUUAGUUAUUUAUUGUCAAGUCUUUUGCAGAUACAGUUUCAAUAAAUACCUUCCCCCCCUUUUUUUAAAGAAUCA